rnacentral:rRNA from 1 species
AACGAACGCUGGCGGCAGGCCUAACACAUGCAAGUCGAGCGCCCUUUCGGGGGAGCGGCGGACGGGUGAGUAACGCGUGGGAAUAUGCCCUUCUCUACGGAAUAGCCUCGGGAAACUGAGAGUAAUACCGUAUACGCCCUGUGGGGGAAAGAUUUAUCGGGGAAGGAUUAGCCCGCGUUGGAUUAGGUAGUUGGUAGGGUAAUGGCCUACCAAGCCGACGAUCCAUAGCUGGUUUGAGAGGAUGAUCAGCCACACUGGGACUGAGACACGGCCCAGACUCCUACGGGAGGCAGCAGUGGGGAAUCUUAGACAAUGGGUGCAACCCUGAUCUAGCCAUGCCGCGUGAGUGAUGAAGGCCUUAGGGUUGUAAAGCUCUUUCAGCUGGGAAGAUAAUAACGGUACCAGCAGAAGAAGCCCCGGCUAACUCCGUG